rnacentral:rRNA from 1 species
GACAGAGGUGCCAAGCGUUAGGCGGAAUCACUGGGCUUAAAGCGUGUGUAGGCGGAAUUGUAAGUACCUUGUGAAAUCCCACGGCUCAACCGUGGAACUGCUCGGUAUACUGCUUUUCUUGAGCCACUUAGGGGCUGUCGGAACAAACGGUGGAGCGGUGAAAUGCGCAGAUAUCAGGAGGAACACCGGUGGCGAAGGCGCCACUCUGGGCCGAAACUGACGCUGAGGAGCGAAAGCGUGGGUAGCAAACAGG